rnacentral:rRNA from 1 species
CCAAUAGCGUAUAUUAAAGUUGUUGCAGUUAAAAAGCUCGUAGUUGAAUUUCGGGAUUGACACAUCGGUCGUGCCUUAAGGGGUAUGAACUGGUGUAGUCAAUUUCUCACCUUCUGGAGAACCACGAUGCCCUUAAUUGGGUGUCGCGGGGAACCAGGACCUUUACUUUGAAAAAGUUAGAGUGUUUAAAGCAGGCAUUUUGCUUGAAUACAUUAGCAUGGAAUAAUAAAAUAGGACGGCAUGAUUCUAUUUUGUUGGUUUCUAGGAUCACCGUAAUGAUUAAUAGGGAUAGUUGGGGGCAUUAGUAUUCAAUUGUCAGAGGUGAAAUUCUUGGAUUUAUUGAAGACUAACUACUGCGAAAGCAUUUGCCAAGGAUGUUUUCAUUAAUCAAGAACGAAAGUUAGGGGAUCGAAGACGAUCAGAUACCGUCGUAGUCUUAACCAUAAACUAUGCCGACUAGGAAUCAGACGAUGUUAAUUUUUUAAUGACUCGUUUGGCACCUUAC